AUGUGUGCACGUGUGUAUAAUGUGUGUGUGGAUGUGUACGUGCCCUGCGCAUUUGUGUAUGUAUACUGUGCGUGUGCAUGUAUGUAUACUGUGUGUGCGUGUGUAUAUUAUGUAUGUGUAUAUUGUGUGUGCAUGUGUGAAUACUGUGUGUGCAUGUGUGUAUACUGUGUGUGCGUGUGUGUAAACUGUGUUUGUGUGUAUGCAUGCGUGUAUGCUGUGUAUAUACUGUGUGCGUGUGUAUACUGUGUGUGUGCAUGUGUGUAUACUGUGUGCACAUGUGUAUACUAUAUGUGCAUCUGUGUAUACUGUGUGCACGUGUGUAUACAGUGUUUGUGUGCACGUGCGUAUACUGUGUGCGCAUGUGUGUAUACUGUGUGUGCAUGUGUAUAUUAUAUGUGCACAUGUGUGUAUACUGUGUAUGCACGUGUAUACUGUGUGUCUGCACGUGUGUAUACUGUGUGCACAUGUAUAUACUAUAUGUGCAUCUGCGUAUACUGUGUGUGCACGUGCGUAUACUGUGUGUGCACUUGUGUAUACUGUGUGCAUAUGUGUAUAUGUGCACGUGUGUGUAUACUGUGUGCACGUGUAUACUGUGUGUCUGCACGUGUGUAUACUGUGUGCACAUGUGUAUACUAUAUGUGCAUGUGCGUAUACUGUGUGCGCAUGUGCGUAUACUGUGUGUGCACGUGUGUAUACUGUGUGUGCACGUGUGUAUAUGUGCACAUGUGUGUAUACUGUGUGUGCACGUGUAUACUGUGUGCACAUGUGUAUACUAUAUGUGCAUCUGCGUAUACUGUGUGUGCAUCUGCAUAUACUGUGUGUGCAUGUGCGUAUACUGUGUAUGCUGUGUGCACGUGUGUAUACGGUGUGUGUACAUGUGUAUAUGUGCACAUGUGUGUAUACUGUGUGUGCACGUGUGUAUACUGUGUGCACAUGUGUAUACUAUAUGUGCAUCUGCGUAUACUGUGUGCAUGUGCGUAUACUGUGUGUGCACGUGUGUAUACGGUGUGUGCACAUGUGUAUAUGUGCACAUGUGUGUAUACUGUGUGUGCACGUGUGUAUACUGUGUGCACAUGUGUAUACUAUAUGUGCAUCUGCGUAUACUGUGUGUGCAUGUGCGUAUACUGUGUGUGCAUGUGUGUAUACUGUGUGUGCAUGUGCAUAUACUGUGUGUGCAUGUGUGUAUACUGUGUGUGCACGUGUGUAUACUGUGUGUGCACGUGCAUACUGUGUGUGUGCACGUAUACAUACUGUGUGUGCAUGUGUGUAUAUACUGUGCGUGUGUGUGCACGUGUAUACUGUGUGUGUGUGCCUCAGUGUGUGCCUGCAGUUACACUUGUGUUCGUGUGUAUAUGUUCUGUGCAUGUGUGCACGCAUGUACACACAACUGUCUUUUCAGCACUAUACCCUGUCAAGGAAGACCAGAGCCGGUCCAUAAGUAAAACAGUAGAAACAGACUUUGUUCAGGGUUAUUGCAAUAGGGGGAAGAGAUCCCAGCAGAGAACCAGCUCAUCUCAACAUAUGGGGAACAAGUUGGGAUUUGUGGCCAAAGAGUCGGGGUGGGGGUCAGUGAUGGAAAAUCACUAA
ensembl:lncRNA